rnacentral:rRNA from 1 species
UGAACAAGGUUUCCGUAGGUGAACCUGCGGAAGGAUCAUUACCGAGUUCUCGGGCUUCGGCUCGAAUCUCCCACCCUUUGUGAACAUACCUCUGUUGCUUUGGCGGCUCUUUGCCGCGAGGAGGCCCUCGCGGGCCCCCCCGCGCGCUUUCCGCCAGAGGACCUUCAAACUCCAGUCAGUAAACGUCGACGUCUGAUAAACAAGUUAAUAAACUAAAACUUUCAACAACGGAUCUCUUGGUUCUGGCAUCGAUGAAGAACGCAGCGAAAUGCGAUAAGUAAUGUGAAUUGCAGAAUUCAGUGAAUCAUCGAAUCUUUGAACGCACAUUGCGCCCCCUGGCAUUCCGGGGGGCAUGCCUGUUCGAGCGUCAUUACAACCCUCAAGCUCUGCUUGGUAUUGGGCGCCGUCCUCUCUGCGGACGCGCCUUAAAGACCUCGGCGGUGGCUGUUCAGCCCUCAAGCGUAGUAGAAUACACCUCGCUUUGGAGCGGUUGGCGUCGCCCGCCGGACGAACCUUCUGAACUUUUCUCAAGGUUGACCUCGGAUCAGGUAGGGAUACCCGCUGAACUUAAGCAUACU